CUUGGCGCCUGGCAGUGGAGUGGUCACACCCUGCCAUUGAUGGAUCAGCUGGCACCACCCAGAUUGAUUGAUAAACUGGCUCAUGUGAUCUUCUGGCCCCCAACCAGGAACUGACUCCGUUCAAGAAGACAGCUUAAACUUCCUGUGAUUUCAUUUCUAACUUGACCAAUCAGCACUCCUGGUUCACUGGCUUCCUGUCACACACCAAGUUGUCCUUAAAAACUACGAUCCUCGAAUGCUCAGGAAGAUGGAUUUGAGUAAUAAUAAAACUCAAAUCCAUAAUAAUAUGGUCUCCCCCCACCCAAAAAAAAUAAAAUAAAAACCAUGUUACUGGUCAUCUGACAUGAGGAGACAAAGAGAGAAAAGCAGUGCCUGAAGACAGAAACAAAUCAUGAUUAAUGAUUUGGCAGCAAAAGAGGAGGAGCCUAUCAAGGAAAAUAAUAAAAUUGUCCAGGGCUUAUCGGCAUAUGUGGUUAGAAUUAGAAUAAAUAAUGGCAGGGAAGCCAGGAGCAGAAAGGAUAGAGCUCUGAGAAGUGCUUGUUCAACAAUCAGAAAUAAAAAGACAUUUGGUAAGAUAAAGAUUGACAAGACUACAAUGAAUUUGGCAAUUUUAAUACACUAUUUCAAUAAAGAUCAUUUCAGUCUUGAGGUGGGGAAAAGACAAAAGGCAAAUGGCAGUGGGUUGAGCAGUAGGAGGGACACUUCAUUUUCUAAGACUGGAGGAAAUAAAGUAAAGAUGAGUGCAGAUGUUUAUCACAAUGGAAAUAUGCAAAUGCAGGCACAUGGAAAUAAUACAACAGCAGGACACCUAAGCUCAAGUGAAAUAAUUACAAGGAAAAGCAAUGCUUAAGAGAUUUCCCAAACAUCAUCUUACACAAUUGGACUAGCCAUUGAUGUCUAGGAAAUGUCUGGUGUAUCAACCUCAAAUGCAGCUAUAAGUAAAGCAUUAAUUUAGUUUCUACUGUCAUUAGUACAGAGUGCUGCAGUGAUGGUCUCACAAGAAUUUGAAUAUUGGGUAAACAAGAUUGUCCUUGAAGAGGUAAACUAUGUGCUUACAUAUAAUCAAUUUAUAGGCAAAGUCACUCAAAAGACAGAGUUCCUGCCAAGACAAGUAAGCAAGAGUUGACUAUUCCUUAUUGACUAUAUUAACACAGUUGAUGAAUGAAUGUAUCCAGAUAAAGGAGAGGGAGAUACUGAUUGGCCAUGGAAGUAGACUAGAAGAGGAAUCACCAAGAGAAAUAAUUAAAAGAGGCAACAGUCAGAGACUCCUUGAACUCAUGGUAUAUCAUCUGUCUCUGAUAGACAGCUGAGCUAAGAACUCUAGGAACCAUUCCCUGAAGACCAAAAAUGAGAAUUAUGCUAGAGAUUUUAAAGGAAGCAAAUAUUUCAAAUUUGGAAGAACCUGCUUCUACUGUGGGCUAUUUGACCAUUCAUGAGAAGAGGUUCACACACUAGUUUGAAUCAAUUGUUCAAAUAGCUGAAAUCAACCCGGAAAAAAAAAAAAAACACUCACAUAAACCUCUGGCUAAGGAACAUUCCUAAGACAAAUCAAAGAGAACAGAAGAUAUACUAAGACCAAGUGUUAGCUUAAGAUGCUCUGAGCCUUAA